AGUGAACGCUGGCGGUAGGCCUAACACAUGCAAGUCGAACGACAGCACAGUAAGAGCUUGCUCUUACGGGUGGCGAGUGGCGGACGGGUGAGGAGUACAUCGGAAUCUUCUUUUUCGUGGGGGAUAACGUAGGGAAACUUACGCUAAUACCGCAUACGACCUACGGGUGAAAGCAGGGGAUCUUCGGACCUUUCCCGAUUCUUUGAGCCGAUGUCGGAUUAGCUAGUUGGCGGGGUAAAGGCCCACCAAGGCGACGCUCCGUAGCUGGUCUGAGAGGAUGAUCAGCCACACUGGAACUGAGACACGGUCCAGACUCCUACGGGAGGCAGCAGUGGGGAAUAUUGGACAAUGGGCGCAAGCCUGAUCCAGCCAUACCGCGUGGGUGAAGAAGGCCUUCGGGUUGUAAAGCCCUUUUGAUGGGAAAGAAAAGCAGCAGGUUAAUACCCCGCUGUUCUGACGGUACCCAAAGAAUAAGCACCGGCUAACUUCGUG
rnacentral:rRNA from 1 species